rnacentral:rRNA from 1 species
AAAGUCAGCUGUAUCCAGGGACGAAAGACGCCACCUGGAGGAUGGCUCGGCUCGAGGGGCGAAGAAGGGCGUGGCAAGCUGCGAUAAGCCCCGGGGAGGCGCAAGCAGCCUUCGAUCCGGGGAUGCCCGAAUGGGAUACCUACCAGACCUUUAAGGUCUGGUAGACACGUCGUUAGACGUGUCUGCGAACCCUCUGAAAGGAAACAUCUGAGUAAGAGGAGGAAAAGAAAUCAAUUCGAGAUGCCCUUAGUAGCGGAGAGCGAAGAGGGCACAGCCCAAACCGAACCUUCAUAGCGAUGAGCUGUGAGGGGAUGUGGGGUUUUGUCCUAGCGGUGGGCGGAGCCCGGUCCAGCCGACGUGCCUAGUCGAAGUGGCCUGAAAAGGCCUGCCAUAGAGGGUGAUAGCCCCGUAGACUAAAGGCAUGGGCGGACUGAGCUAGGACAGAGUACCCGGCCUUGGCAGUGGUUGGGGAAGAUGGGGGAAAGCGGCCCCUAAGGCUAAAUACCUCUCGAGACCGAUAGCGGACAAGUACCGUGAGGGAAAGUUGAAAAGCACCCCGGAAGGGGGGUGAAAAGAGCCUGAAACCAGGUGGCUAUAAGCGUGCAGUGCCUGAAAGGAACCUUCCUGAUGCGCUGUGGCCGCAAGGCUGCAGUGCGUUGGCAGGGUUUCAGGGUACUGCGUUCCGUCUAGAAACACGGGCCAGGGAGUUCAUCUCAAUGGCGAGUUUAAGGGUUUCUUAAGCCCGAAGGCGAAGGGAAACCGAUACUCCGCAGCCCCAAAAGGGCGAGGGAGGGGGUGUUAUAAGCGCCCCAUAGCCAUUGGGAUGAGACUAGAAACCGAGCGAUCUUGCCCUGGGCAGGGCGAAGCCGGGGGAAACCCUGGUGGAAGCCCGAAAGGGUCCUGACGUGCAGUUCGGUCCCCUGAACUAGGGCAAGGGGCCAAAAACUAAUCUAGCUCGGUGAUAGCUAGUUCCCGCCGAAGCUGAUCCCAGUCAGGCCCCGGCAGAUGCUGCUGGCGCGGUAGAGCACCGAUGGGGUGACAAGGGACCGAAAGGUCCCAUCACCCUUUCGAACUCCGAACGUGCUGGCACAGAAGAAGCCGGGAGACGGGUUUGUGGGGGUAAGCCCCACAACCGAGAGGGGGACAACCCAGACCGGCGUUAAGGCCCCCAAGUACAGGCUAAGUGCCAAACCAAAGGGCGUCUUUCCGCUUAGACAGCAGGGGGGUAGGCUCAGAAGCAGCCAUCCCCUAAGGAGUGCGUAACAGCUCACCUGCCGAGCGGGGAGGCCCCGAAAAUGGACGGGGCUAAGCCUGUCGCCGAUACGCCGGAUCACCUCUGUUAAAGAGGUGUGUGGUAGGCGGGCGUAGAGGCCGCGCAGAAGCAGGGCCGUGAGGUCCUGUGGAGUGGCCUCUAGUGCAGAUCCUGGUGGUAGUAACAGCGUAGCCGGGUGAGAAUCCCGGCCGCCGGAAGGCCAAGGUUUUCUUGGCAACGCGUCGUCAGCCAAGAGUAAGCCGGUCCUAAGGACCAUCCCGCAAGGGAUAGGUCUGAAUGGGAAACCGGUUAAUAUUCCGGUGCCUUCAGCCCUACCCGUAAGGGGACGCUCAGUCCUCUUGCCUCUAGAUAGGGGAAGCAGAGCUGUCGCUCUGUCUAACUCUCCAAGCGCGGGGGAGUGUCGUAAUGACGAGAACCCGUGCGAGGGAGGAAUGGCCUGCCGUAUGGCGGGUUUCCUCGAUUCUAGGGGACAGUGAAAGGAGGAUUGAGCUAAAGGCUGGAGACCGUACCAAGAACCGACACUGGUGGCCUGGGUGAGAAGCCUAAGGCGUGUCGGGGAUACCGCAGGCGAGGGAACUCGGCAAAUUAGCCCCGUAACUUCGGGAGAAGGGGUGCCUGCGAUCCUGGCGAAGAGCUGGGAUCGCAGGUCGCAGUGACAAGGGGGUCCCGACUGUUUAAUAAAAACAUAGGUGGCCGCUAGUCCGUAAGGAUUUGUACGGCCGCUGAAUCCUGGCCAGUGGCGGUACCUAAAACCCGGGUUCAACCGGGCUAAGGGCCGCUAAACGCCGGGGGUAACUCUGACCCUCUUAAGGUAGCCAAAUGCCUUGUCGGGUAAGUUCCGACGUGCAUGAAUGGAUCAACGAGGGCCCCGCUGUCCCCGCCUGCUACCCGGUGAACCCACGUAAGGUGGACGAACAGUCCACCUCCCCCCAUCGGGGAGAGAAGUCCCUGUGGAGCUUUACUGCAGCCUGCAGCUGCGAUGUGGGCGCGACUACAGAGAGUAGCUGGGAGCCAAUGAAGCCUGGCCUUUGGGUCAGGUCGAGGCGCAAGUGUAACACCAGCUAGUCGUGCCUACGUCGCUAACCAGGAUAGAACCUGGGACACCUGCAGGUGGGCAGUUCGGCUGGGGCGGCACCCCCUCGAAAAGGUAUCGAGGGGGCCCUAAGGUCGGCUCAGGUGGGUCAGGAACCCACCGUAGAGGGCAAGGCCAAAAGCCGGCCUGACUGGACCCCUAAAAGCGUCGGGUCCAGAGGGGAAACCCGGGCCUAGCGAACCAUCGUGCCCCCUCCGUUGGGGGCCGGUGACGACAGAAAAGUUACCCCAGGGGUAACAGGCUCGUCGCGGGCGAGAGUUCCCAUCGACCCCGCGGUUUGGUACCUCGAUGUCGGCUCUUCCCAUCCUGGCCCUGCAGCAGGGGCCAAGGGCGGGGCUGCUCGCCCAUUAAAGGGGAACGUGAGCUGGGUUUAGACCGUCGCGAGACAGGUCGGACUCUACCUGAUGGGGGUGCGCGCUGACUGAGGGGAACUUGCCCUUAGUACGAGAGGAACGGGGCAAGGCGGCCUCUGGUGUACCGGUCCUCCGACAGGGGGAGCCGGGUAGCUAAGCCGCUGAGGAUAACCCCUGAAAGCAUCUAAGGGGGAAGCCUCUCCCGAAAAAAGUCAGCGUUCCCGAUCCUCUUCUGCCCGCAAGGGUGGAGGAGGAAAGGGUGAAGGGCUGCCGUAAAAGACGGCGUCGAUAGGACGGGAGGUGUACGCGGGAAGGCCCUUCGGGGUCGACCCGUUCAGCCCACCGUUACUAAAAGCCCGAUACGUCUCUGGAUGCAGCUGGCCGUCA